GAAACCAACAGGGAUUGCCUCCGUAGCGGCGAGUGAAGCGGCAAAAGCUCAAAUUUGAAAUUUGGCGUCUUUGGCGUUCGAGUUGUAAUUUGAAGAAGGUAUCUUUGGGCCCGGCUUUUGUCUAUGUUCCUUGGAACCGGACGUCACAGAGGGUGAGAAUCCCCUGCGAUGAGAUGACCCGGGUCUGUGUAAAGUUCCUUUGACGAGUCGAGUUGUUUGGGAAUGCAGCUUUAAGUGGGUGGUAAAUUCCAUUUAAAGCUAAAUAUUGGCGAGAGACCGAUAGCGAACAAGUACCGUGAUGGAAAGAUGAAAAGAACUUUGAAAAGAGAGUGAAAAAGUACGUGAAAUUGUUGAAAGGGAAGGGCUUGAGAUCAGACUUGGUAUUUUGCCUGCUGCUCUCUCGGGGGCGGCCGCUGCGGUUUACCGGGCCAGCAUCGGUUUGGAGCGGCAGGAUAAUGGCGGAGGAAUGUGGCACGGCUUUUGCUGUGUGUUAUAG
rnacentral:rRNA from 1 species